GGAUGAACGCUAGCUACAGGCUUAACACAUGCAAGUCGAGGGGAAACGACAUCGAAAGCUUGCUUUUGAUGGGCGUCGACCGGCGCACGGGUGAGUAACGCGUAUCCAACCUGCCCACCACUUGGGGAUAACCUUGCGAAAGUAAGACUAAUACCCAAUGACGUCUCUAGAAGACAUCUGAAGGAGAUUAAAGAUUUAUCGGUGAUGGAUGGGGAUGCGUCUGAUUAGCUUGUUGGCGGGGUAACGGCCCACCAAGGCGACGAUCAGUAGGGGUUCUGAGAGGAAGGUCCCCCACAUUGGAACUGAGACACGGUCCAAACUCCUACGGGAGGCAGCAGUGAGGAAUAUUGGUCAAUGGGCGAGAGCCUGAACCAGCCAAGUAGCGUGCAGGAUGACGGCCCUAUGGGUUGUAAACUGCUUUUAUAAGGGAAUAAAGUGAGUCUCGUGAGACUUUUUGCAUGUACCUUAUGAAUAAGGACCGGCUAAUUCCGUGCCAGCAGCCGCGGUAAUACGGAAGGUCCGGGCGUUAUCCGGAUUUAUUGGGUUUAAAGGGAGCGUAGGCCGGAGAUUAAGCGUGUUGUGAAAUGUAGACGCUCAACGUCUGCACUGCAGCGCGAACUGGUUUCCUUGAGUACGCACAAAGUGGGCGGAAUUCGUGGUGUAGCGGUGAAAUGCUUAGAUAUCACGAAGAACUCCGAUUGCGAAGGCAGCUCACUGGAGCGCAACUGACGCUGAAGCUCGAAAGUGCGGGUAUCGAACAGGAUUAGAUACCCUGGUAGUCCGCACGGUAAACGAUGGAUGCCCGCUGUUGGUCUGAAUAGGUCAGCGGCCAAGCGAAAGCAUUAAGCAUCCCACCUGGGGAGUACGCCGGCAACGGUGAAACUCAAAGGAAUUGACGGAAG
rnacentral:rRNA from 1 species